rnacentral:rRNA from 1 species
AUUGAACGCUGGCGGCAGGCCUAACACAUGCAAGUCGAACGAGGGGCGGACGGGUGAGUAAUGUCUGGGCAACUGCCCGAUGGAGGGGGAUAACUACUGGAAACGGUAGCUAAUACCUAAUACCCUCGGAUGUGCCCAGAUGGGAGUAGCUAGUAGGGGGGGUAAAGUCUCACUUAGGCGACGAUCCCUAGCUGGUCUGAGAGGAUGACCGGGCACACUUGAACUGAGACGCGGUCCAGACUCCUACGGGAGGCAGCAGGUGGGAUUAUUGCAGAAUGGGCGCAAGCGUGAUGCAGCCAUUCCGCGUGUAUGAAGAAGGCCUUCGGGUUGUAAAGUACUUUAAGCGGGGAGGCGUUACCCGCAGAAGAAGCACCGGCUAACUCCGUGCCAGCAGCCGCGGUAAUUC